rnacentral:rRNA from 1 species
AUUGAACGCUGGCGGCAGGCCUAACACAUGCAAGUCGAACGAGUGGCGGACGGGUGAGUAAUGUCUGGGAAACUGCCCGAUGGAGGGGGAUAACUACUGGAAACGGUAGCUAAUACCGCAUAACAUCCGAUGUGCCCAGAUGGGAUUAGCUAGUAGGUGGGGUAACGGCUCACCUAGGCGACGAUCCCUAGCUGGUCUGAGAGGUUGACCAGCCACACUGGAACUGAGACACGGCCCAGACUCCUACGGGAGGCAGAAGUGGGGAAGAUUGCACAAUGGGCGCAAGCCUGAUGCAGCCAGGCCGCGUGUGUGAAGAAGGCCUUCGGGUUUUAAAGCACUGUCAGCGAGGAGGCGUUACUCGCAGAAGAAGCACCGGCUAACUCCGUGCCAGCAGCCGCGGUAAUAC